UACGUAGGUGGCAAGCGUUGUCCGGAUUUACUGGGCGUAAAGGAUGCGUAGGCGGACAUUUAAGUCAGAUGUGAAAUACCCGAGCUUAACUUGGGUGCUGCAUUUGAAACUGGGUGUCUAGAGUGCAGGAGAGGUAAGUGGAAUUCCUAGUGUAGCGGUGAAAUGCGUAGAGAUUAGGAAGAACACCAGUGGCGAAGGCGACUUACUGGACCAUAACUGACGCUGAGGCACGAAAGCGUGGGUAGCAAACAGG
rnacentral:rRNA from 1 species